AACGAACGCUCGCGGCAUGCCUAACACAUGCAAGUCGAACGAGACCUUCGGGUCUAGUGGCGCACGGGUGCGUAACGCGUGGGAACCUGCCCUUAGGUUCGGAAUAACUCCCCGAAAGGGGUGCUAAUACCGGAUAAUAUCUUCGGACCAAAGAUUUAUCGCCUUUGGAUGGGCCCGCGUUGGAUUAGCCAGUUGGUAGGGUAAAAGCCUACCAAGGCGACGAUCCAUAGCUGGUCUGAGAGGAUGAUCAGCCACACUGGGACUGAGACACGGCCCAGACUCCUACGGGAGGCAGCAGUGGGGAAUAUUGGACAAUGGGCGAAAGCCUGAUCCAGCAAUGCCGCGUGAGUGAUGAAGGCCUUAGGGUUGUAAAGCUCUUUUACCCGGGAUGAUAAUGACAGUACCGGGAGAAUAAGCUCCGGCUAACUCCGUG
rnacentral:rRNA from 1 species